UAUCACACAAGCAAAAGGGCUGUAUGUCCAGCUAUCAGCACAACUGUGAUUCGGCCACAGACAAUCACAGCCAUGCUGACAGAUGGACAAUACAGCACAAUUGCAAGCUUGAUAUUGCUUUUAUACAACAAUUCAAUUAACAAAUAAAUAAAUAAGGAAAACUAAGGACUAUCCCAAAAAACGCUCAUGUGUGGAAUUACUUUCUUUCGCCAUGGAUUCAGGAUCUGCCGUUGCUAGUUACUAAUUAGAAAACCACACUUGAGAACUCUUAAUGACAGCUUGGGCUGUUUCAAACAAGUUAUUGGAGAAACAAGGAUGUGUGUCGAUGUGCGUGUGUGUGUGUAAGAGAGAGAGAGUGAGAGAGAGAGAGAGUGUGAUUACCUGCAUCUGUUGUAGUGAUGAACAGUAAUGCUGCAGCUGUUAGUUUAACUCUAUUCCUCAGCUGUAGUGUGAUAGUAGUCUGUUCUGAUUUCGGCAGUAAUGCUGAAGUUAUUCGUUUGACUCUAUUUCUCAGCUAUAGUGUAGUAGUAUUCUGAGCUAUCAGGAGACAAUUCCGGAUGACUUCAAAGAAAUUUGCACACUGAGGGUCAGAUUCACUAAGAAUGAAUUGUGCCCGCUAAAAACAAUUUUUUUAUUUAUUUAUUUUUGCACGUGUUAACUGUGCUCAUUCACUAAAGGAAUUAUGCAGAUCAGGCAUCUGCACAAUCGUGCCCACAAAAUCGCAGCUGGACGCAAUUUGCACGUGCAAUUCUGAUCUUGCGGUCUGAUUCUGAGAGCAAUAUGACCAAGGAUGCUGCAGACCACCGUAUUUCACCCACCCUGCAGGGACUGAACAGCAUAACUUAAAAAUGCAGAAUGUGCGCUUGAUGACACAAAGCAUCUGGAUAUAUGCCAGGUCAUAACGCUCUUCAACAUAAUUUGAUGAUUAAAAAUGAUCGGUUGAAAAUGUUCACAAACAUCUCUUUUAAAUAAUAUUCAUUUUACUGCCUACACUCUAAAAAAUGCUGGGUUAUUUUUUCUACCCAAAUACUGGGUUGAGGCUAUUGGGUGAAGAAGUUGGGUUGAUUUGACCCAAUCUGGGAUGGUAAACAUUUUAAACCUGUAACCCAGCACUACUGGGUUGGGAAAGCGAAUGUGAAAGAAACCAUAUACGUCGUAUGUCCUUAAGUAAUGUUUAAAAUCUUUGUGAAUGCUGCUGAUCGAGAGAAAGAGUGCCAACGCUGGAAACUGGAAGAUGUAAGCUGUAAGUCAUUAAUUUAUUCAUUAUUUUUUAAUUUUUUAACAUAUGAAGAAGGAAUAAUUAGAGACGGACAGUUGAAUCACUUAAAAUUAAUGCACAUUCUGAGGUGAUAUUGCGGCGCGAAGUGGCCGUUACGCCUCAGAUGUGCAUUAACUUUCAAAACUUCAAUGGUUUGGAUUCAGUUAUUCCGCUGAUACCGCAGUUACCACGCAUAAAAUACAUAACAACCGUAUAUGCAUUUGUUUGUCUCAACACAUUUUCAGGUUUUCAGCUUGGGUUUAGAACUAUUCACUGAAUAACCUGUAACCGAGCGGUGCUGUGUUGUGGAUACUGCGUGAAAUUUCAAACCUCUGUGAAGACUGAAGAGCGUGAGAGAUGACGCUGGAAAAAUACUUUCUCAGUUUUGAAUCCUGACUCCACCUCAAAGCUCAAAGAGAGCUGGUGUGCCUGUGUUCAAGACAAGAUCCUGCACUUUGCCAACAAAGAGAAGUGGCUCUUCAUCUGCUUUCCACUGUAGAAACGAUCACAGCAGGUUGGUACCAGUGGCUGAUUACCUGGACUGUGCAAAAAGAUGCCAUCAGAUUUGCAUACACACUGAUGCUUGGAGAAAACAAUCAGUGCUUUCCAGCUUUUGUUGUCAUUUACAGAGAAGUGCAAAGUGGACAUUUACUUCAAAGCUUUCUAACUAUUAAAUAUUAAAUAUAUAUAUAAAGUGUUCCCCAGUGUGUGAAUUUCUACAGACUGGUAACUUGUUUAUUGAA